rnacentral:rRNA from 1 species
UACGAAGGGGGCUAGCGUUGCUCGGAAUCACUGGGCGUAAAGCACACGUAGGCGGCUUUUUAAGUCAGGGGUGAAAUCCUGGAGCUCAACUCCAGAACUGCCUUUGAUACUGAGAAGCUUGAGUCCGGGAGAGGUGAGUGGAACUGCGAGUGUAGAGGUGAAAUUCGUAGAUAUUCGCAAGAACACCAGUGGCGAAGGCGACCACCUGGACUGAUACUGACACUGAGGUGCGAAAGCGUGGGAGCAACAAGAUGA